GACGAACGCUGGCGGCGUGCUUAACACAUGCAAGUCGAACGGAAAGGCCCUGCUUUUGUGGGGUGCUCGAGUGGCGAACGGGUGAGUAACACGUGAGUAACCUGCCCUUGACUUUGGGAUAACUUCAGGAAACUGGGGCUAAUACCGGAUAGGAGCUCCUGCUGCAUGGUGGGGGUUGGAAAGUUUCGGCGGUUGGGGAUGGACUCGCGGCUUAUCAGCUUGUUGGUGGGGUAGUGGCUUACCAAGGCUUUGACGGGUAGCCGGCCUGAGAGGGUGACCGGCGACCUUGGGACUGAGAUACGGACCAGAAUCCUAUCGGAGGCAGCAGUGGGGAAUAUUGCACAAUGGGCGGAAGCCUGAUGCAGCAGCGCCGCGUGCGGGAUGACGGCCUUCGGGUUGUAAACCGCUUUCGCCUGUGACGAAGCGUGAGUGACGGUAAUGGGUAAAGAAGCACCGGCUAACUACGUG
rnacentral:rRNA from 1 species